CACGUCCAUACUAUUUUACUAAACAACAUAAUAAAAGAAACAAUACCAGAUGGAUGAUAAAUUUCAAGCAACAAUCCAAAUAAGUUCGCUGGCACACAGACCAUUAACUAAAAGCAAUACUAGACAAGUUUGUUGGCGCACAGGUCAUCAUUUACUAAACAAGCAAUACUAAACGACAAUGAUAGAACCAUGAAGCCAAAGUUGAUAAGUGAUCUUCGGUAGAAUGCAGCACGCAGCUCGUUUGCGCCAAAAGUGACAACACUGCAAGCAUAAUAGUGCGAAAGUUAAAAUAUGAGUCCUAAAAAUUAGAUAGAAAAGUUUAUGUCUAUGGACAGGUGUGGAUCAAAUAUUUUGAAGAGAACAUCUUCAGAAUUUUAGAGUGGAUACCUGCAAAUAGCAUCUGCAGCUUCUAGCACGCCAUGCCCAGUCCAGACCAAGGAUAUGCUGAAGCAUCAACGCCAGGAGCUGCCCACCAAUGGCCUUGAGCCGACGAGCUUGCCAUGCUCGGUUGUUGUACGACUGUUAGCCAGCAUGGUGCCGAGGAGGGAUGCAUCGACUGCGGUGGGCGAGGCAGGCACCAUACACCAGAUCCAAACAUGGAAGCGAUGGACGGCGGAGGAGCAGGAUGAGUCGUUGCGGGCUAACCAGACUGAACUAGCGACGACGGAAUCCUCAUGGGCGCUGGCGCAGAAGCUCUCUUGGACCUCCCACUCAUCUCACCGGUUGUUGGAUAUGACGGCUAGGGUUUGGGAGAGGUGACAAUUGGGGAAGAUUUGGGGCUUAAAUCCUUCGAUUUAGCGCACGAGGAAUCGAUUUUGCGCGGGAGGAAUCGAUUUGGCGGCAAGGGCAUGGUGGAUUUGGCGCCGGGAAGGGGAAGGGGAGCACAGGAUCGGGAAGAAAUUGAUACGGGAGAUAGAACGUCGGCUUCUCGCUGGGUGCGGGCUGGAAGGAGGUGUUUUCCCUCGUAUGAUGCGCUACAGCCGGGCGAAGAGGAU
rnacentral:lncRNA from 1 species